rnacentral:rRNA from 1 species
UACGUAGGGUGCGAGCGUUGUCCGGAAUUAUUGGGCGUAAAGAGCUCGUAGGCGGUGUGUCACGUCGGCCGUGAAAACCUGCAGCUUAACUGUGGGCGUGCGGUCGAUACGGGCAUCACUGGAGUUCGGCAGGGGAGACUGGAAUUCCUGGUGUAGCGGUGAAAUGCGCAGAUAUCAGGAGGAACACCGGUGGCGAAGGCGGGUCUCUGGGCAUUCCCUGACGCUGAGGCGCGAAAGCGUGGGGAGCAAACGGG